AAAUGGUUCUCUGGACAUAAGUGAAUUGUGAGUUUACUGAAUUUGGUAAAUUUAGAAGCAUUCCUCUGUGCAUCCUCUAGUAGAUUUUGGAUUUUCCUCUUCCACUGUAAUGGAAUUGGACCGAGAAAAGUUAAUGUGUUCCAGUUAUUUUACGGUGCUGGCACUUACAUGUUUGGAAUUGAUGAUGAACGAAUAAUUGAUGCUACAAGGGCUGGAAGCAUUGCUCAUCUGAUCAACCACUCUUUCGAAUAACUGUUGCUCCUCACAGAAGUGUUCAAGGAUAAAUAAAGGUUCAUAUUAGAAGUGGACGUCCAUUAGUUUUGGUAUGUAUGUAAAUUAUUUUAAAUCUAAGUAUCUGAUUUCCUAAUAGUUGAAAACCUUAGUUUAUUGACAAGAAAUCAAAUGGUUACUUCUGAAGUUGGUUGAUUGUAUUUGGUUAUGUCUACUAAUGAGAAUGACUUUACCUUAAGGGGAUAGACUUUAGUUUUGGUAUCUCCAAUUGAGAAUUUAGCCAUUGUGCUUACUCUUUAUGGAGUAUCUAAAGACAAGAAAUCGACACUCCAAUGCUAUGAAAAUUUUCCUAUAAGCUGAUGAUAUGUGGGGAAGAUAUUCAUAGUUCAUCUUUAUUGGCGAUGAUUGCAUAAUACAAACUGUUUAACUCUAAGGAUUACAAAUUGUCGUACAUGUAUUGUCGUAGGCUGUUUUGUUCUAAGGACUAGGAACAACCCAAGAAGUUGUUCAAUUUGCAGUGGCCAUUUGGUUGGACGUUCUUCUUCUCCUUGAUCUCUUUCUCCUCUUCUUAGGAACUUCAUUUUCAUUAUCAGAUUUGAAGAGGGACCACCAUGAGUGGGGUAGUAAAAUGAAUAGAGAAUGGGAGAGUGAGCUGGGUAUGUUUUUGGUAUGUGUAUUCUAGAGAGAAAGAGUAGCAGUAUGUUUUUGUUUGCUGUGUUUGCCUAAUAUAGUCCUCAUGGUCUUCUCUUUUCAUUUCAUGGAAUCAAGUGUUGAAGUUCUUGUUUGUGUUCUGUAUUUUGUUGAGACGUUGAUUUAGUUAUUCAUUGACUGUACGUAUGUGUUAUGGAUUCUUUGUAGGUUCAACUGGAGUCGACAAGUUCAUGAGUUUUGUUUCAAAUAUCAUUUCCAGAAACGAACAUUCUCGGUUGGUCCAGUCAAAUAUAUUCGAAUGCUAUUUAAGAUAUUUUUUGAUUAAGGGUUAGUAUUUCGUACAUGUGGAUUACUGAAACUUGUAUUAAGAUGUACAAAUAUUAUAAAUCGUAUUAUAGUGUAUAUAUAUUAAAGUGUUGGCUAUUUUCUUGUACAUUGGUGUGAAA